GAGUAUUCAUGGUUAGAGUCUCAGUCUCUAUUACGGGCCCUAGUACACUUCAGGAACUCAAAAGCUUUGCUGAUAUAAUGCAAGGUGAUAAAAAAGUAGAAAGACUUGGGAUAAUCUUGAUUUCUGAAGGCAUCAAACGGGAAUUAGAGAAAGCAGCAGGAAAAACGAAGGCCUUUUUAAGUUCCAUGAGAACUACGGUUUGCAAGACUGGUCAAAACAGUACAAUGCAAGCGGCAAGAAUCAGGAAGUGCACAGAAACAAGAAGCUCGGUGCACACUGGGAUCAGGCAAGCAUCUGGGAGAAGACUGUAGCAAGACUGGAUCCUGAGAAAUAUACAGAGUUCAGAGGCUCCAUGGCUACACUUUGGGCAUGUAUGUCAUUACAGGAAUGAAAAAAAGAUGAUGGCCAAAUGCUGUAUUAAAAUCCCAUUAGAAAUGCCGGGAGAAAUUUAUGGCCCCAAUCUCUUUUAUCUGACAGCAGUUCCCAUGUGAUCCAUCAGGCUCUGAACAUGAAUUUUAAUGGGCUCAGAACCACUUCUCUACCCUGAGGUCACAGGCUGUCAGAGUGAAUCUUCCACAAACUGAUUGGAACCUGAAGAAUUUGCUCUGUCAAGAGAGGAAAAAAGGCAUAAACCUUAGGUGGUAUGGAGAAUGAGGAAAGGGGAGGAGAAGGAGAAAUCCAAAAGAUAGGUGGAAAACCAUGGGAGCAAAUCAAGGCAGGAAAUCAGAGAAAUCAAAGCCAGAGAGCAUCUCAGGAAGAGCUGAUGGCUACCAGCACUGAAUACCACAGAGAUUAUUACAUCGCAAGACAAUGCAUCGCUCCAGCAAGGAUAACAAAGCGAAUGGGAAGGAAAGGGUUAUGAAGAGUUCAUGGAAGGCACCUUAGGCAGACUACUUUUAGGAAAGAGUGGAUGUGGAAGCUAAGUAUCUGGAAAUUGAUUUCCUUAGAACAGUUUGUGUUUGCAUGUCUUCUGAAAGGUUUUAUGUACUCCCAAGAGUGAAGCAGCAAGUCUUGCUUAAGCAAAGCUGGUGAAAUCAGAGCCUGGUCCAAGGCUCAGAAGCGUUUGCGGGGAAAAGCAAACACUUUUUGUGGGAGAAGGAAACAAAGGAGAAGAGAGGAGGAGGAAGAAAUUGAAAAAGAAGGGGAAGAGAAGAGGAAAAGAAAAAGAGACGUUGAGAGAAAGAAAAACAGAGAGCUGUGUGUGAUUGGAUGCCAUGACUCCUCAGUCUUAGUGCUAAUGCCGUUGUUACCUAACUCUAUUUAGGGAACUUUCCAGAACAAAGCGAAGCUUUGUGGGCCUGGCUUUCAGAACUUAUGCAACAAUUGUUUUGGGAGCAGACUGAAAAUUUUACAAGAGAACUGAGUUUUCAAGAGACUGACGGUGUGACCAAAAGAUCAAAGGUUUGGUGCAGUGGGACUAAGUUUCAGGCAGCCUUUCAAAUUGUGAAGACUUUCCUCCCUGUUAUGGCAGUUAAGACAUGUGAAAAUGGUAGUUCGAGACACUUAUAAGCAACUUUCUUCUUAGUUCACAAUGUUCCAUGAAUGUCAGUGCCCUCCAAACUCACGAGAACAAAGCAGGCAACCAGGAUGAUUACUCCCAAAUCAUUGAUAAAAGGAGAGAGAAGUACAGAGAUACACAGUGAUUUGUGUGGGUUGCCAAAAAGUUGCACGGUCAGUUUGACAACUGUUAUUGCCUUCAGGUUGACAAAUUGCAAAAGCAGCAUUGCUGUGUAUGGGUGGGGAGGGAGGAGGAAUUGCAUGAGUAAGAAUGAGAUGAGCAAUAGUUAGGUGGGGUGGAAAUGAAAUCUCAACAGUUAUUGGGGAUUCUGAUGUAUUUAUCAAACCAAAAGACGAUCUAAAAGCCAUACAAUCAGACUUAGAUUAGGGCAGUCUGUGAUAAGCAAAAGUUAAUAUAGUGUGUUGUUUUUGAAAAUAUGGCAUGAUAAUUAAUAGCAACUCUUUUUGUAUACUUGCUUGGUUAACAGGAGGAAACACAGAUAAAUUAAAUACUGGUUAGCAAUCUUUAAUAACCAGGAGAUGCUUAACAUUUAUUUAGAAAUCUGCAACAUUUUAUAAAUCAUUGUUUUGGCUUCUGGGACAAACUCAGAAUCUGGAACCCACGGAAACCCUUCAGUUACACAAAGGCUUUCCAGUUCAUUGCUACUGCACUGAAGAACAGUCUUCACAACUAUACCUGGAACUUACUAGGCCAAGAAGGCAAGGCGUUGGUAUGUGUUUUUAUUGUAGUUAAACUUAUCUGGAUUUAAAAGGCAUUAACUAUCUUCUGAUUUCUUCCUUUUUCUUCAAUUGUACAAGAGUGUUUCAAUUGAAUAUUGCAACUGAAGACAUUCACUCUGCGUUGAUCACCUAUGGAGUGAUCAAAUUUCAACCCUUUGAAGUUUCCUAAAUGAAAGAGGCACUCUGAAUUCAAAGGCUGUUUGAAUGAACUGACUGCUUCAGCACUGUCUUGUAGAUAUAGUCCAUUCAAAUAAAAGACAAAUAUCUGACUGAAUUUUGUUAGCACGUUAAGACAUGUAUUAUAAAAAGGUUUAAGAAGAAAAUAAUGGCCACAAUUCUUCAGAAAACAUGUGAACUAAUGUGACAAAACACUGUGGUGUUGCAAACUCAAGUGCUGCUCUGGCCAAGUCACCUCGCUGAAAUCUCCACUUCCACUUGUGCAACCUACCAAGCCACUCUCUACACAGCUGCCAGAGUGAUUACAAAAACAACGCGGGAUUAUGCUACCCCUGCUUAUCUAAAAUUUGUCAAAAUGCCCGUUACACUUUGAAUAAAAUACAGAUUCCUCUCAGAUCUCAUUUCUUAUCAUGUCUUUCUCAAUCAUUAUGUUCCAGCCUCACUGACCUUCUUUCUGUUCCUGUAAAAUAUUCCUGCCUCAAGGGCGCAGGCCUACGACCUGCAGUUCUCUUUUUCCCACAUGUGACCAGGCUCUCUCUUAGCCAUCAGGUCUCAAAUAAGCUCUUUCCGUUCUGUCUAGGCAUCUUAUCAAAAUCAACCUGUGUAUUAUUAUUCAUUUAUCACAUAAUCUUGUUUUAUUUUCCUCAUAGCACUCUCACUUUCUGAAAUUAU
rnacentral:lncRNA from 1 species